AUCGCUUGAACCCAGGAGGCAGAGGUUGCAGUGAGCCAAGAUCUUGCCACUGCACCCCAGCCAGGGCAACAGAGUGAGAUUCCGUCUCAAAAAUAAAUUAAUUAAAAAAAAGAAAAGAACGAGAUAUGACCAGCCUGGGCAAUAUAGCAAGACCCCAUCUGUACAAAAAUUAGUUAACUGGACAUGGCACACACCUGGGGUCCCAGUUACUCGGGAGGCUAAAGUGGAAGGAUCA
rnacentral:lncRNA from 10 species